ensembl:lncRNA
UUAAGACAUAACGUGUUAUGUUAACAUGAAUACUCACUACAAUAAAAUGCAAUAAACCACAAAAAAAGAAAAUAAAAAUGAAUAAAAACUCAGGCAUUCAUUCAUUCAUGCAUUCAUUAAUUCAAUAAUUCAUUCACAGAAUAAAAUAAAAUAAAAUAAAAUAAAAUAAAAUAAAAUAAAAUAAAAAUAAAAAUAAAAUAAAAAUAAAAAUAAAAAUAAAAAUAAAAAUAAAAAUAAAAAUAAAAAAUAAAAAUAAAAGGACUGACAAAAAAUCUUUUAUCAGGACCUGGAUAAAAAUGCUCAUUUCAAAGAAAAAAUCUAAGAAAAAUCUCUCAGAAAGAGAUUUUUGCAUUUAAAGUUUUCAUAUAUUUGCUAAAAUAAGUAUCAAAAUAUAUUUAUGUAAAUAAAUUUUGUACCAAAAUAUUUUUUGCCCAUUUUUUGUAAAUGUUUGAAAAUAUAUUUAAAAAAUAUAAAUAUAUUUAUAUUUCAACCACACUUGUUAUUAAAAAUGUAAAAACUAUCAAACUUGAGUUUCAUCAUGAGUAGAAGAUUGUCACUAUGGUUAAGAUCACAGUAAGGCCAUAUCUUUCUCUCCGUCUCCCUAACGCUCUCGACUCGCGCAUCGCAAAGUUUCAUUGGCAGUAUCUGUGUAAUAUAUCUGAGUUUCUAGUCAGUGUGUCUCUCUUUAAACAGACAGCCAGAUGGGGAGAGAAAAAGUGAGAAGUACAGUAUACGUUAUAAAGGAUGAGAACGUUGUGUAGGAGGAAAACGGAGGCCAAAAUCCCACUUAUAGCAGGACUCGUUAUCAUCCAACAAACGCAAGCGCUUCCAGUGAGAUCUUUCCAACUGCGGGCCUCUUCUCUUUGUUAUGGAGCAAAUCUCCUGCCAGGCCACUUUGUUUAUUGUCGGCAUUCAUGCCCAUUUGGACAAAAAAAGGACGCCGCUCACGCAAAAGCUGGAUUUCAGCAUGUCAGAUAUAUGAUGCUCCGCAGAAGAUCUCUCUGGGCACUCCUUCCCGCUGAGAUUUGAUUCGCCAGGAAGAGAGAACUGAGAAGCGGGAAAUUGAAACAUCUUGCAUUAAUAACCGUAAUCGAGUGGCUCUCAUUAGGAACUUCCCAUCCUGAACCCUUUCAAACAAAAAGCAUUCGUGUCUAACAUUUCUUUCCCUGUCUAUUACCUCUUCAUUCAAACUUUCUAUUAGGUGACUUUAAGUACUACUGUACAUGCUUAAUCAUUUGGUACAAUUUACUUACAAUUUACCUAUACUGUAUUAGUAAUCUGUAGUUACACUGUAAACUUCAACCCAUAACUAGGGCAUUUACUGGCCAUAAAUAUUUUUACUGCAUGUGCAUCAUUUAACAAAUCUAAAAUUCUAAUCUAAUAGCAAUGAUUAUUAUUAGAGGUUCAAGCGUGUAGUGCUGAAAGCUUAUUGUAAUUUUUAGAAUGGUCACGGAUCAGCGAUUUCCACAUAAAACUGAUCGUGCAGACCAAACCAUAGGUCGUAGAGACUUGAUACUUCUCCUAGGUUUUUCGUCCGAUCGAAACCAAACCAGUGCAGAAAGAAUCUCUGGAAAAUGAAUAUCAAUAAUUAUCAAAAAAAAAGUUGAACUUUUGACCAACUGUCACAAAGGAGCACCAAAAUGUUUGAAAGGGGCGGGGCCACUUUUACUAAUAUGCCUAUAACUCCUGAACGGAAUGAGAUAUCUUCGCCAAACUCUGAACACUUAUGUAAGAACUCAAUUUGAAGUUACAGGGGGAAUUAUUAUUAUUAUUUUUUUUUAGUUUGGCCACUUGGUGGCACUAUAAGACUGAAAAACAAAAUAGGCUAUAACUGCA